GCCUUAACAUGGUCGUCGCGCAAAAGCACUUUGCGCGACAUCAAAUUGUAUACCAACGUCGCGCAAGAUAUGAUAAAUUUCGCGCUCCAAUGCAGUGAAAAAAAGGCGCUUUGUUUCAAUUUUUCCUAAGUUUCGACUCUUUCCCGUAUAAUUAAUAGACCUCUCUUCCCUCUUGCACUCUUUCGGCCUUUCCCUCUUUCCCAUAUAACCUCUUGCUCAUCUAUCCUCUCUUUCCCUCUUUCCCGUAUGGUUCCCUUGCUCACCUCUCUUUCCCUCUUUCCCACCCUCUUCCUCACCUUUCUUUCCCUCUUUCCUGUAUAACCCUCUUGCUCAUCUCUCCUCUUUUUCCCGUACAUAUCUCUCUCCCUCUCAUUCACAAGCUUUCCUCUUCACAAUCACGAAUCCAACCAUCACCACCACUACUCUCUGUCAGUUGUCUCUCUCCCUCUCGUUCUAAACGACGGGCAGUGACGCGAAUCUGGAAACUGACGCGAAUCAAGUCCCAAAUUCAAGUGUAUAGAUGUCGCAUUUGAUCACUCGUCGUCGGAGUGUGACCAAUGCGCCUCCCACAUUAUCAGCAUCUACUGCUCCAUGCGUGAGUGCUCCAUUGAAUGGGGAGCCUACUCCCUUUAUUGAGGCUACUCCUACGGCGUCCCAGGUGCCUGUCUCAUCGACGUCAUCAGUGUCCGUUCACCCGCUCAGUGCACGGCGGCCUCACCGGCGUCGUCGCGAGCCGGACCCUUAUGAUCACACUUCCUCAGCAUCCAGGGUUGAGGGUGAGGCCUCCCAGCCAGGUA